rnacentral:rRNA from 1 species
GAUGAACGCUGGCGGCGUGCUUAACACAUGCAAGUCGAACGGUGAAGCCAAGCUUGCUUGGUGGAUCAGUGGCGAACGGGUGAGUAACACGUGAGCAAUCUGCCCUUGACUCUGGGAUAAGCGCUGGAAACGGCGUCCAAUACUGGAUAUGAGCUGUGGCCGCAUGGUCGGCAGUUGGAAAGAAUUUCGGUCAAGGAUGAGCUCGCGGCCUAUCAGCUUGUUGGUGAGGUAAUGGCUCACCAAGGCGUCGACGGGUAGCCGGCCUGAGAGGGUGACCGGCCACACUGGGACUGAGACACGGCCCAGACUCCUACGGGAGGCAGCAGUGGGGAAUAUUGCACAAUGGGCGCAAGCCUGAUGCAGCAACGCCGCGUGAGGGACGACGGCCUUCGGGUUGUAAACCUCUUUUAGCAGGGAAGAAGCGAAAGUGACGGUACCUGCAGAAAAAGCACCGGCUAACUACGUGCCAGCAGCCGCGGUAA